GCAGGUUUAGCGUAGUUGGUUUAUCGCGUCGGUCCUCCAAACCGAAGAUCACGGGUUCAAAUCCCGUAACCUGCU
rnacentral:tRNA from 1 species